rnacentral:rRNA from 1 species
GACGAACGCUGGCGGCGUGCUUAACACAUGCAAGUCGAACGGAAAGGCCCUGCUUUUGUGGGGUGCUCGAGUGGCGAACGGGUGAGUAACACGUGAGUAACCUGCCCUUGACUUUGGGAUAACUUCAGGAAACUGGGGCUAAUACCGGAUAGGAGCUCCUUCUGCAUGGUGGGUGUUUGAAAGUUUCGGCGGUUGGGGAUGGGCUCGCGGCUUAUCAGCUUGUUGGUGGGGUAGUGGCUUACCAAGGCUUUGACGGGUAGCCGGCCUGAGAGGGUGACCGGCCACAUUGGGACUGAGAUACGGCCCAGACUCCUACGGGAGGCAGCAGUGGGGAAUAUUGCACAAUGGGCGGAAGCCUGAUGCAGCAACGCCGCGUGAGGGAUGACGGCCUUCGGGUUGUAAACCGCUUUCGCCUGGGAAGAAGCGUGAGUGACGGUAAUGGGUAAAGAAGCACCGGCUAACUACGUG